UCUUAAUCUUUCCGUGGGUUAAGUUUUACGGAACUGGCUGUUUUUUUUGGUCUGUGCUGAUCCACGCUCCGCGUCUCCGUCUUCGCUGAAAUUGCUGCUCCUGAGCGCAGAUGACAUUUGAGCAAAGACCUAAGUAAAGACCCACGAAAGGAGUUAGCCAUGUGGCCAUUUGAGGGAAUGUCCGCAAGAAGGCUCCAAGAUAGUCCGCAAGGAGGCCAGUGCAACUGAUGCGGAAUGAGACGCGGAAGGAGAGGAACUGAGCUCUCCAAGGCGGUGGAUGUCACAUCACGUAAGACGUGACAAUGGACAUGAGGGAGGAGGGCAACAUCUGGGCCUCAGCCAUCAUCUGUCCUUCGCGGGCACUGGAUAAUCUUCAUCAAGUUCAGUCUUUGGUAACUGGCCUCUGGCUUCCACGGUCUGGGCUCCCCCCAUGCCCUACCGUCAUCAGUCUGUGCAGCUCUUUUUGUUCUGUUGGUGUCUUUAAAUAAUGCACUUAAACAUGGAUUUCUGCUGAGCUUACCCCAGGCCAAAAGCCCAACACUGUUCUCUGAAGAGAAGUGAGGCAGGGGAGGUUGAACUACUCAAACUCGGUUUCUGCUUCCUACCUCACCACCUGGAUGAUUCAUGGCUCCUCCCCCGUGACAGAAUGUGUGAGAGACGGGAGAGUCCGGGGUUGCGAUAACUGAUGAGAAAAGAAAGCAGGGGGAGAAGCCGUUCACAGUGAUCACGUUUGACUUCUUCUGUUGACAGAUGAGGAAAUUGAAGUCCCAAAAGGAAAACUGACCCACCUAGUGUUAUUUAUUUAAGAACAGAUAUUAGACUCCAGUCUAAUCUAUCCUCUUCGCUCUUCCUGUUGUACUGAGGACAUCCCUGUAACGAAUCGGGAAUAGAAACAGUAUGGUUUUAUCAGGUUGAUCAUAGUUGGGAAUAAGAAUUUGU
ensembl:lncRNA